UUUGGUUUUCACGAGGCUAUCUAAGUUCACUCUGAAGCUGUCUAAAUUUCUCUUCAGUUCCCCAAUGUCUCUGACCAUAUCUAUGUAUUUAGACUGCCUUCUAAGUGAGCGUGGGGGAUGUUUCCAUAGAGACUGAAGAAGGGCUGCUGUUCCAUCUAUAACAGUCUCCCCUAGGGCCUAUGACCUCCAGGACCAUAGGCUUUUGACCUUGUUUAUAGUAGCAGACAUGAAUUUCCUCCUGUGGUGCAGGCCUCACAGCCAAUCAGAGAGCAGUUGUUUGCUUUCAUAGCAUCAUGUCACUAUUGCCUGCAUAGGCACAUAGGACCAGAGACGGGAAGGUAGACCAUCUCAAUGUACAAGUUCAUGGAGUCUGAAGUGGCUAGGAUAGUAAACUUCAGAAAAGAUGUUUCCAAGCAACUUGUGGAGAUCUUGGG
rnacentral:lncRNA from 1 species